UUCAUCCUGAAAGUUGGAAUCCUAUGUGGUCUGUUUCAAGCAUACUCACAGGGCUUCUUUCAUUCAUGAUGGACAACAGCCCAACCACCGUCAGUGUAAAAACCACCUCCGCCGAGAAGCAGCGUUUAGCAAAAUCUUCC